rnacentral:rRNA from 1 species
UACGAAGGUGGCAAGCGUUACUCGGAAUUACUAGGCGUAAAGGGCAGGUAGGCGGUUUGGUAAGUCUGUUGUGAAAGCUCCUUGCUUAACGGGGAGAGGUCAACAGAUACUGCCAGGCUUGAGUAUGGGAGAGGUUACUGGAAUUCCCGGUGUAGCGGUGAAAUGCGCAGAGAUCGGGAGGAACACCAAUGGCGAAAGCAGGUAACUGGACCAUUACUGACGCUCAGCUGCGAAAGCUAGGGGAGCAAACAGG